rnacentral:tRNA from 1 species
CUCCCCGUAGCUCAAUGGCUAGAGUAGCGGGCUUCUAUCCCGCUGAUGUGGGUUCGACUCCUACCGGGGAGACGA